GAGGAAGAAAAAGAAGGAGAAAGAGAGAUCGAGAAUGAGUCACCAUCAUGAAUUAGAUUUGAAUCAGCCGAUGCUCCCUUUGAUAUUCCUCUUCUACUUCCUAGUAUUGUGUCGAUUUCUUUUUCUUUUUCUUUUUCUUU
rnacentral:ribozyme from 13 species